UGACGGUACCUACAAAAGAAGCACCGGCUAACUAUGUGCCAGCAGCCGCGGUAAUACAUAGGGUGCAAGCGUUGUCCGGAAUUAUUGGGCGUAAAGAGCUCGUAGGUCGUUUGUUACGUCGGAUGUGAAAACCUGAGGCUCAACCUCAGGCCUGCAUUCGAUACGGGCAAACUAGAGUUUGGUAGGGGAGACUGGAAUUCCUGGUGUAGCGGUGGAAUGCGCAGAUAUCAGGAGGAACACCAAUGGCGAAGGCAGGUCUCUGGGCCAAUACUGACACUGAGGAGCGAAAGUCUGGGGAGCGAACAGGAUUAGAUACCCUGGUAGUCCAGACCGUAAACGGUGGGCACUAGUUGUGGGAACCUUCCACGGUUUCUGCGACGCAGCUAACGCAUUAAGUGCCCCGCCUGGGGAGUACGAUCGCAAGAUUAAAACUCAAANGAAUUGAC
rnacentral:rRNA from 1 species